rnacentral:rRNA from 1 species
UACGAAGGGGGCUAGCGUUGCUCGGAAUCAUUGGGCGUAAAGCGCGUGUAGGCGGUCCGGUAAGUCCGCUGUGAAAGUCGGGGGCUCAACCCUCGAAUGCCGGUGGAUACUGUCGGGCUAGAGUGCGGAAGAGGCGAGUGGAAUUCCUGGUGUAGCGGUGAAAUGCGCAGAUAUCAGGAGGAACACCAAUUGCGAAGGCAGCUCGCUGGGACGUAACUGACGCUGAGACGCGAAAGCGUGGGGAGCAAACAGG